AAAUUAGAAAGCGAAAAAUUGCAUUUAGUUUCGACCUAAAUUUUGGUAUUAUAACCUCUAAUU
rnacentral:tRNA from 1 species